UGCUUAGCAUGUUAACCAGGUGCGUGCACGUCUAAAGUGCUGCUUUCCAUUCAAAGUGGGAGCCAAAGCGGUGUGUUUUAAGAGGCUAUUAAAGAAAUAAAAAGUCACCUUUUUGGAGUUUUCCGUGUGGAUAGGCGUGCGGAGCAGGAGCAGCGUGGAGACGAGGACAAGCGGAGGCUGUCGAAGGUGAGACAGAACGAUUGCCUCGUCGGCCCGCCUUAAAUAGGUUUCCGUUGAUGACGUCACUUCCGGAAA